UUUCCGUAGGCGAACCUGCGGAAGGAUCAUUCAUAAUAAAGUGUUUUAUGGCACUUUCUAAAAAUCCAUAUCCACCUUGUGUGCAAUGUUAGAUCUCGUCAAUCUUGGCGAGAUUUUUAUACAUCAACUCAUUCUUUAACUAAUUUGUCUGAAAAAUAUUAUGCAUACUUAAUUCAAAAUACAACUUUCAACAACGGAUCUCUUGGCUCUC
rnacentral:misc_RNA from 1 species